GCGACCCGCACAGACAGUUGUGGGUUAUGUGUUAGGCUAUUAGUGGGUUGUGUCGUACUUACCAGUGUUCGCGGGGUCAUGCCAAUCAACCUGCUAUCUGCCAAUCACGGGAAUGCCUGGAAUGUUCUGAUACCGGGCAGCCUGGUGGUUGGCGUGGUGGUUGGGCAGGGGGAUGGAGCAUUGGAAGUUAAGAACGGGUUUAGCCAUUGUUCUCUCUCUUACGUCUGGGCUUCACAAGAGAAGGUCAUGGUUGGUUUGUAGUGUACCUUUCAUUUAUUUGGCGUGGGCUACGGCCAAACAGUAGCCUGUGUUAAGUUAAGUUAAACCGUCCAUUCGUUAACUCCAUCCUCUGUCUGGACAAUUGUUCCUUCAUGAUCUAGUCAGGUCAUUACAGGUAUUUUUGAAGGUGGAUGUUCAGCCCAGCCAAUCAAGCAGCUCUUACCACUCUACUUGGGUACUUGUAUCCUACAACGGAUCAGUAGAGACGGCUGAGGGAUUUUACAGGCAUGCUGGGAAUAUGAGCUUUGGGUGGGUAAUACCCAGGUGAAGGAGAUGGGAAUGUAUGGAAGGGAGUUUAGCCCAACGGUAGCUAUUCCUGUAAAUCCACCAUGGCUACUCCCACCUCCAGUAGUAGAUCUAGAAGUAUUGGAGAGACUACAGAAAGAUAAGGAGGGUCUUGAUCCAUCUGAUUUGUUUAAGGGAAGUCUUGAUACUGUGUAUCAGGAUGUUGUGGCCAUAUACACAGAUGGUUCAAAAGAUCCAAGGACAGGACAUACUGGGUCAGCAUUUGUAGUGCAGGAAUCUGGGGUGAAAGUCAGAUCAUCUGGUUGUAUAUACAGAUGAGAUGGUGGCCAUACUGUUGUCCUUGCAGUGGGUGGAGGAAGUUGAGCCAGAAAGAGUAGUUAUUUGCUCUGAUUCUCCAGUCCUUUUAUAUCAAGACAAGUCCUGCUUUGUGAGGUGCUACAAACCCAUGGCAGGAGUAAACAAAUGGAUAUACAGCUAAUAUUUACAUGGGUCCCAGCUUAUGUGGGAGUGCAGGGGAACGAGGCAGUUGAUGUACUGGCUAAACAAGCACUAAGUAGUGGGGAUGUUGAUGUGGAAGUUUCAAUGAGCAAGGCAGAGGCAAAAAGCGAUGGUGGAGAAAUGGCAAGAGCAGUGGAAUAGAGAUACUUAGGCCAGGCAUUUAUUUUCAAGUACAGAGGAAAGUUGGGGAGAACGGCAGGAAGGGACAGAAGAGAGGAGGCUUUAUUUACACGAUUAAUGGUGGGACACAGCUAGUUGAAUAAGACCUUACAUGUGAUAGGAAAGCAUCCAACAGGACAAUGUGAGUAUUGCCAGGAAACAGACAGUGGAACAUGUAUUGAUACAGUGUGGACAUUGGAGGGAAAGAGGGAAGGGGAUACAGGAAUUAGUUUAAAUAGUAUAUUGAGUAGAACGUCAUUAGAUAUAGUCUCAAAUAUUUUGUUAUUUUUUUAAGAGCAACGGGGCUAGCAGGUAGGAUUUAGUUUCUCCCUGUCUCUGGCCCACACUCUAGUACAGUAGGUGGCGGUAAUGCACCAUAACGUUGGAUGCCAACCGCCGAUAAACCCCACCCUAGAAGAAGUAGAGCUGGCUGGAUGAUUUUCGUCGCUGGCGUUGGAAAGUCAAGCAGCCUCAAUGUUGUUGUGAAAGGUGCAGUGUCCAGUGGGCUAACUGGCAUAGCCUGCACAGAUGAGCAGCGACAAUGGAAUGCAGGGACUCGGAGGAACCUUGAGCCAAAGCGGUUAAACAGCAUUGACUUCACACACUAUAAGGCCAGUGACCAAUAUGCAGAAAAGCGUCCCCUGCCUCCCACUCCUGUAUUCCACUCACAGGAGGAAUUGAAUAGGAGCCUGAGACACCUGAAUCUGCCUGUGGGGAGUCUGCUCUAUAAGUGGGUUAAUGCUGAACCAACAAUAACAUCACAGCCAGUAGCAUCCCAGCUAAAAUUUGGACUGAAAGGAAUAUUUAUUUGUGGCUGUACCAUUUUAAUGUAUUUGAAGAUAAUGAGCUGAUGGCCUCCCAGUGGCUGGAAGACUGUGGAUACUCUGUGGACCACAGAGGCACUGUUGUCAGUGUUGAAGAGCCAUGGCUAUCAUCAAGCCCUGACAGAGUGCUGAACUCCAAGGAGCUGUUGGAGAUCAAGUGUCCUGUCAUGGGGAAGGCUUCUAGGGCCCUAUGAUUUCCGCGAUGUGGAAAACGAACAGAAUCGCAGAAUUUGGUAAUAAAAAUGGAAUCAACUGUAGAAUGUGGAAUUUUGCAGAAUUUGGCUGAAAUUGAUUUAAAAAAAAAUCUAAAGUAGGCCUAAUUAUUGUAGUAACGUAAAUUAUUUCAUAAUUAUAGACGAUUAUGCCUAGGAAAAUAGUGUCCAUGUAACCGGUCUCUGUCAUGUCAUCAAUCUGGUGGGUGAGACCUGGCAGCACUACAAAUACUUCUCUGUAGUUGCAUCACUUGUGACAUGGAUGAGAUCUGUCUUCUUCAAGAAGCCUGGCAGAAAGAGAAGAUGGGUGAUGACAGCUCUGUCACUCCUGGAAAGAACCCACCAUCCCACAGCAGUGUCUGCAUACAAUGACAUGGAGGAUCUGGGCUCUUACCUAGUGAAUGGAACAGCAAAAACAUGUGGGUAUGGUGCCAAGACAGAUGAGCUAUUGAGAAAGAUGGGGAUUGGAGGGAGGUGCUUGACCGUCUCUGAUGCAUUCCACUUGGCCUUCAAAGUUGUCAAAACACUGGGACACACAUCCAGCGAGGGAGGUCUACAGGCUGGCUAGGGUGUUCGAUCCUAGGCAGGCUCCAGCCAUGGAAAAGCAGAUUGAAGGCUACACACAACUGAAACCCAUGGCAAGCCCAUCAUCAGAGCUCAGUGAAAAAUGUGUCCAGGGAGCCCUCACCUGCUUUGGAGCUUGCUGAUUACUGGAGGGGCCUGAGUGUGAGAUUCCCAAGAGUUGCAGAAGUGGCAGUGGCCUACAUCUACUUCCCACUCAGCUCAGUUGACUGUGAGAGGAGUUUCAGCAAAUACAAGACUACUUACAGACAAGCGAGAAGCACUCACUGAGCUCAAAACAGAGGCUGACAAUCAUGUACUUCAAUGGAGAUGUCAGUGAUAGAUGGAAAACUUACAAUGGACAGACAUAGGAGCUCAUAAGGUAGUUCCAUAGGUUUUUCUUAUUGCUGCAUUGUUGCCUAGAUUCUUGCAUUACCUUUUCUUUAAUGAAACACUUAGAACUCUGUACUGAAGCACUUGCCUUUAUUUUUUUUUUAAAUAGUGCAAUGUUGUGUUGCAUCAUUACAAAGGUACUGUUAUCUUAUUUGAUGUUUUAUUCAUUCAUAUUACUAGACACGCUUUCUGAUGAUAAAAUUAGCAUAAAUCGUAAAACAUAGAAUUCAGAAACAUUUUCACAGAAAAAUUGAAUUUGAGAAAAAAUAUAAUGGAAUUUUGAAAAAAUAAAACGGAUUUCAUAGGGCCCUAGGAAGGGCUGUGAUUCUCUGGAUGAUGUCUUCAAUGGGAAAGCCUGUGAUGUGAAGGUGGUGGGGGGCACACCCUAACUGCAACCACAUGGGCCACGUGGCUACUACAUGCAGCUGCAAAUUGGUAUGUUUUGCACAAGACUGAGACAAAGUAAGGUGCUCAUUUGGACUCUGUCCCGGCAAGUUGUCAUCCCCGUUCCCUAUGAUGCACAGGUCUGUGCAGAGGCUGUCCUGAGGUUGAAGGCAUUCUACUCAACACAUGCUGUCAUUUAUUGUUAAGAAGCAUCAGGCAGGCAGCUUGUCACUGAGUGACAAAUAUAUGCAGCUCUGUACACGUAUGUAGUUAGAUGUCUCUCCUGUUUGCAGUUACUAUUAACACAUUGUUUUUCAAUUAAAAAGCCUGACUUAAUGCAUCAACAGUCA